UUGAUCCUGGCUCAGGACGAACGCUGGCGGCGUGCUUAACACAUGCAAGUCGAACGGUGACGAGCAGCUUGCUGCUCUGAUCAGUGGCGAACGGGUGAGUAACACGUGAGCAACCUACCCUUGACUCCGGGAUAACAGCUGGAAACAGCUGCUAAUACCGGAUACGACCUCGACCGACAUCUGUUGAGGUGGAAAGUUCUGGCGGUCAAGGAUGGGCUCGCGGCCUAUCAGCUAGUUGGUGAGGUAACGGCUCACCAAGGCUUCGACGGGUAGCCGGCCUGAGAGGGCGACCGGCCACACUGGGACUGAGAUACGGCCCAGACUCCUACGGGAGGCAGCAGUGGGGAAUAUUGCACAAUGGGCGAAAGCCUGAUGCAGCAACGCCGCGUGCGGGAUGACGGCCUUCGGGUUGUAAACCGCUUUCAGCUCCGACGAAGCGCAAGUGACGGUAGGAGCAGAAGAAGGACCGGCCAACUACGUGCCAGCAGCCGCGGUGAUACGUAGGGUCCGAGCGUUGUCCGGAAUUAUUGGGCGUAAAGGGCUUGUAGGCGGUUUGUCGCGUCGGAAGUGAAAACUCAGGGCUUAACCCUGAGCCUGCUUCCGAUACGGGCAAACUAGAGGAAUGCAGGGGAGAAUGGAAUUCCUGGUGGAGCGGUGGAAUGCGCAGAUAUCAGGAGGAACACCAGUGCGAAGGCGGUUCUCUGGGCAUUUCCUGACGCUGAGAAGCGAAAGCGUGGGGAGCAAACAGGCUUAGAUACCCUGGUAGUCCACGCCGUAAACGGUGGGCACUAGGUGUGGGACUCAUUCCACGAGUUCCGUGCCGUAGCUAACGCAUUAAGUGCCCCGCCUGGGGAGUACGGC
rnacentral:rRNA from 1 species